GACGAACGCUGGCGGCGUGCUUAACACAUGCAAGUCGAACGGAAAGGCCCUGCUUUUGUGGGGUGCUCGAGUGGCGAACGGGUGAGUAACACGUGAGUAACCUGCCCUUGACUUUGGGAUAACUUCAGGAAACUGGGGCUAAUACCGGAUAGGAGCUCCUGCUGCAUGGUGGGGGUUGGAAAGUUUCGGCGGUUGGGGAUGGACUCGCGGCUUAUCAGCUUGUUGGUGGGGUAGUGGCUUACCAAGGCUUUGACGGGUAGCCGGCCUGAGAGGGUGACCGGCAAAAUGGGGACGGAGAUACGGCCAAGACUGCUACGGGAGGCAGAAGUGGGGAAUAUUGCACAAUGGGCGGAAGCCUGAUGCAGCAACGCCGCGUGCGGGAUGACGGCCUUCGGGUUGUAAACCGCUUUCGCCUGUGACGAAGCGUGAGUGACGGUAAUGGGUAAAGAAGCACCGGCUAACUACG
rnacentral:rRNA from 1 species